CAAGCCAGCUGAAAAACGGAGCUUGUGCCUACUGCUCCAGUCCCGUUCCACUCCUGUGCCAGCCCCAUUGUCCCCCACUACCCGUGACUGCCUUCAGCUACCAGCCCCUCAACCACACAAGUCUGAGAGUGACUUCACGAGGCCCCCUUUUCGCACAAGUUCAAGGGGUGCUAUUUGCAUCACACUCUAUGUGAGCCCCAAGACUCCGGGGCAAGACAUAUGGAGGCAGGCUCAACUGAAGCCGAUGGAGAGAAGACCACCAGUCAAAGAAAGGAUGGUAUCCAGGGACAUGGUAGCUGGUGAGGAGUGGCUGCCUUGGGGCAGGGAGGCUGGAAUCUGCAUCCAGGUGAUUCCAAUGUGAAGCCAAGAUUGAGAGCCACUGUCCUAGGUCCUUCACGCCCAAUGGGCUCCAGGGACCAGCAGUAUCAUCAUCUCCUGGGAGCUUGUUAGAAAUGCAGAAUCUUGGGCCUUCCUCAUACUCACUGAAUGAAAAUCUGCAUUUCAUUGAGAUCCCAGGCUGUCGAGGGCUUCCUUAGCCACAGAUCUGAG